rnacentral:rRNA from 1 species
GAGCGGUAACAGGUGUAGCAAUACAUGCUGACGAGCGGCGAACGGGUGAGUAAUGCUUUGGAAUCUUCCCAGUAGUGGGGAAUAACCAGUCGAAAGAUUGGCUAAUACCGCAUACGUCUGUAAAGGGAAAGCGGGGGCUCGUAAGACCUCGCGCUAUUGGAUGAGCCAAAGUCGGAUUAGCUAGUUGGUGGGGUAAUGGCCUACCAAGGCGACAAUCCGUAGCUGGUCUGAGAGGACGACCAGCCACACCGGAACUGAGACACGGUCCGAACUCCUACGGGAGGCAGCAGUGGGGAAUAUUGGACAAUGGGGGCAACCCUGAUCCAGCGACGCCGCGUGUGUGAAGAAGGCCCGCGGGUUGUAAAGCACUUUUAGUGGGGACAAAAAGCUACGGAUUAACACCCUGUGGUCUUGAUUUAACCCACAGAAAAAGCACCGGCUAACUCUGUG